GGUUAGAGCUCAGUGGCAGAGCACUUGCCUAGUAUGUGUGAGGCACUGGGUUCGAUCCUCAGCACCA
rnacentral:tRNA from 1 species